rnacentral:rRNA from 1 species
CUGAGUACGGCGGAACACGUGAAAUUCCGUCGGAAUCCGGGAGGACCAUCUCCCAAGGCUAAAUACUCCCUAGUGACCGAUAGUGAACCAGUACCGUGAGGGAAAGGUGAAAAGCACCCCGGAAGGGGAGUGAAACAGUUCCUGAAACCGUGUGCCUACAAGUAGUUAGAGCCCGUUAAUGGGUGAUAGCGUGCCUUUUGUAGAAUGAACCGGCGAGUUACGAUUUGUUGCAAGGUUAAGCGGAAAAAGCGGAGCCGUAGCGAAAGCGAGUCUGAAUAGGGCGCAUAAGUAACAGGUCGUAGACCCGAAACCAGGUGAUCUACCCAUGUCCAGGAUGAAGGUAAGGUAAUACUUACUGGAGGUCCGAACCCACGCACGUUGAAAAGUGCGGGGAUGAGGUGUGGGUAGCGGAGAAAUUCCAAUCGAACUUGGAGAUAGCUGGUUCUCUCCGAAAUAGCUUUAGGGCUAGCCUCGAGGUAAAGAGUCAUGGAGGUAGAGCACUGUUUGGACUAGGGGCCCUUCUCGGGUUACCGAAUUCAGAUAAACUCCGAAUGCCAUGUACUUAUACUCGGGAGUCAGA